CCUACGGGAGGCAGCAGUGGGGAAUAUUGCACAAUGGGGGAAACCCUGAUGCAGCGACGCCGCGUGAGUGAAGAAGUAUUUCGGUAUGUAAAGCUCUAUCAGCAGGGAAGAAAAUGACGGUCCCUGAUUAAGAAGCACCGGCUAACUACGGGCCAGCAGCCGCGGUAAUACGUAGGGGGCAAGAGUUAUCCGGAUUUACUGGGUGUAAAGGGAGAGUAGAAGGCAGGACAAGUCCUGAGUGAAAUGCCGGGGCUUAACCCCGGGACUGCGUUGGAAACUGUGCCGCUAGAGUGCCGGAGAGGUAAGUGGAAUUCCUAGUGUAGCGGUGAAAUGCGUAGAUAUUAGGAGGAACACCAGUGGCGAAGGCGGCUUACUGGACUGUGACUGACGUUGAGGCUCGAAAGCGUGGGGAGCAAACAGGAUUAGAUACCCUAGUAGUC
rnacentral:rRNA from 1 species